GUUAGAACAGCCAAGGCAUGCAUUUCUCUUUAAGCGAAGUGAGUCUUGUGGGUCUAACAGUAUGUUUAAAGACUUUGGUGACUUCCAGUGUGACAUCACAUUGUCACACUAGGUUUACAUGUUUCUAAAGAGCUCAGUGAGGAAAGGUGAAAGAAAAAAGAAUGAACAGACUGAAUGAAGAGACUCCUUUGAUGUGGCACCUCAGCUUGAACCUUCAUAUGGCAUUGCUUCUCUUGGAGUCACUUAUUCAUAGGCUGAAACAGAUAUGAAAUCUAAUCACCCCAUGGCCCUUCCAGCAUCUAGGAAGCAAAAUGCAAGGAAAAAGAUGGCUCCUUCAACUCAAGCUCUCAUAUGUUGCUGUUCAUCCUGUCAGUAGACUUUGUUCAAGGUAGUAAUGAAAUAUGGGAGGAACACGAUGCAGGCUUAAGCUCCAAGCACAGCCCGCAUGCACGUGCCAGGCUCGUCCUCUGAGAGUCAACAGAUAUUUCUUGAAAAGGAAGAGAGGUUCAGUUCCUGGAGUAUAUCCAUUCUGCAUAGAUUUGGCAAACGUUGAUCGUACCUAUCUUGUGCUUUGCCUCUGUAAGAAGCAGAGACCCAAGCCAACUUCCUCCAUAUGGUCACAAUGCCUAGAGCCACAGUCAGUUUGGGAAUAUGCUGGCACCAAGAAAAAGAAUAACUGUCAGGCUGAGUGCCAUGAUCUGCCCCAUUUUAAAUAUUGCCUACGAGUGGGCAAGAAACUGCUUCAGAGUACUUCCAGCUGCAGCUGGCAACUGCAUCAAGAAGGUAAAUCAUGGAAAGUGGAUGAAAAGUUAGACAGGAGUAUUAUGUCAAGUGGGACACUGCAGGUUUAAGCAAGACCUUGUGAUGGAGCUGAGCAGAUAAUAACCCUCUAGAUGAAAGCUAGUUCCCAGACUGUCACCAAGAGACUGUUAGAUCAUCCAUGAGAUAUAUAGUAUUCCUGCUUGAAAAGAUGGCUCGUGGCAGGUCAGAUGGAAUGAUGAAUGUUAACAAGGGUCUACAGCCAGCAGUUGGGAAGUUGUAGUCCUAUGACUUUCCACUGGCUCACUUAGUGAUUAUUUCUGGAUUCUACAUUAUCUUAACUUAGAAUGUUCAACAACAAAAAAGUUUAUUGGAGAAAAAAUAUAAUUAUUGGUCAGCUGGAUAUAUUAAUUCUAGCAAUUUGUAAUAACAAUCUCCACUUUUUCUGCUGCACCAAGACAAAUGAAAAUCCAGUCUCUGCCUUGGAGAGUUUAUAAAUAACACUACACUAAUCUUGUGAAGGGCAUGAAAGGGUCAAGGAAGGAAAGGAAUUACUUAGGGUAGCCCAGGGGAGCAGACCUCCUAGUGAAAAGGUGAAGCUAAGUGGAAUUUGUGGCUUAAACAUUAUCAGAGUGCUUCUUGAUAUGGAUUUGACCUUUAAGUGGUCUCCCAAGAGAUAAGGAGAGAACUUAAAUGCUUGGAACGUUUCAGUUAUAUUGGACUAAAUUCCUAAAAAAUAUUUGGCAAGGAGUUAGCCUUCAAAGGAGAUAGAUGAGCUAAUUAGGUUCUUUUCCAUCUCCAACUACCAUGACUUUAUGUGUUGCCAGAGCUGCAUGACCUUAGAAAGGAAAGUGUGGGACAUAUCUGUGGUGAUGUACUAUACAUAGUGUUGUAUUUCCAUGCACAGCAUCAGGUCCUCUGGCACUGAGCUGGAUCCAAAAGAUACUUAAAAUAAAGUACUUAAGAAUAGCAAGACUAACCUUUUCAAAGGGAG
ensembl:lncRNA